UGCACAUGUGUUUGUACAUGUAUUCAUACUGUGAAGAUGCCGUUUGCCUUUUCUCUUCCUUUCCAAUUUCAAAGAUGAUCAUAUUACAUCUUCAGAAGUUCAUCUCAUUUUGGCACUAAGGAUUUAUUCAUUUUCAUGUCAUGUAUUUCUACCCUCUUAUUUGCCUUUCCAUCAACUAUAGCAUCAUGUAAUUUUUAAUUUCUUAGCAUUUAAAUGCAUAAAAGUUAUCUGUGCCUCUAUGAUAUAACCUUUUUUAUUUUCAACCAUCAUGCAGAUUUUCUGCACCCAUUUAAUAUCUGUCCCAACUCCCAUUAGGAGUAGAUUGAAUUUCAUUUCAUAAUUUUCUAAGUUUUUUGGCAUUUUUCAUCCACUCAAAUACUCAAUUUCAUCAGAGUAAAGUUGAGUGGUGAAAUUAAACCAAACCACUUAUUGCCAGUUUGGCCAAGUUGAUUAGAAGCAAAAUGGUUUAUUUUUGAAAUAAUUUAUAAAAAGAUCUUUUCAGAAUAUAUUCUAUUGUGAUUAUUUAGAAUAAAAACAGAGCUUUUAGAAAAAGCCUUAAAUUAGUGCUUGUUAAGAAAAGGCAAAUUGUUCUCUUAUUUACUCCAAAAGCCACUUUGUAAAAAACAUUAUUGACGUGACAUAUGGCUUCUUCUUGGAGUAGAUAAGAUUCACUAAAUUGCAGGCAAACAAGCACUUACAAUGAUCAUGAGAAGCUUGUUCUAAUUUAGUCGUUUACCCUUUUUUCCAUGAAUUGGAUCCUCGGGGAAUAAUUUGAAUAUGGUGGCUGUAAAUGCUUCAUGAAUAAUCACCCUUUGCUGUCAGCCUGUCAUUUAAGGAAAAUCAUGAUGCUCGUGUCCAAUCUGGAUGUACUUAUGUUCUUGAAUUCUUAUCUAAGCCAAGUGAAAUACCCUACUUACUGUGAUACCCUACUUUUUAUGCAUCGUAGUUCUAAACUGAAAUACCCUACUUACUGUUUAGUUUCUAUUUUGGAUGAAAUUCUGUCUCUAUUUCAUUUAAAGAGUCAUGAUAGAGGCCAAGAAAGAUAUGGUUGACUUAUGAACAGAGCAAAGCUUGGCUAAUAUUCCAUUAAUGUCUGAAUGGAGAAAAUGGUUUCCACUUGCCACAUCCAUCAUGGCUGCUCUGCCCUACAAAUCAAUCAGGGUUGCAUGCAGGCCAUGGAAAAGGAAACCAUGAUAUCUGCAGGAUUGCACCGCAACCCCACUCA